UUCCCUUUCACCUACACAUAGGUCCCACCAGUCAUUCCUCCUCCUCCCCGGCAAACCCCCCGCGUCCGCCAUGUCUUGAGCUCCGGAGGCGAAUAAGCGACUACUAGGGUUCCGUUCCCCGGGGACGCGCUGCACCCUCAACCCCCACGCGCCGCCCUCCGACCUCCGCCUCCCGUCGUCCCGCUUCGGUCGCCGCCGCCUGACCCUGCUGCUCCUCCACGUCUCCUGCAGCUCCGCGUCGGCGCCGGAUUGGUUAGGGUUUGGGUUUCUGGCGGCCAAAGCCGAGACCCCCCUCCCUCCCCCCCUCCGCAGGGGCUCGCACCGGAGGGCCCAAGCUCGCGGCCGGGCUCUCCUGUCUCCUCAUCCCCCUCCGCUCCGGGGUAAGAGACUCCCCUCCCUGCUCCUGGAGACCACUCCUCUCCGCGAUUCGGUCUGUUUCCCCCGAUUUGCCGGGUGGCCUCGAGCAAUCCUGCUGGUUUGGGGAUGAGCUGCUUUGGGGAGUCGAGCGUUUCGAGGUAGAUAUGUUUGGGGGUUUUCCACCAGUACAAUAUGGCCCAUCUUAUUUGUUCGUAUUGAUUGGUUAUCAGAUCUGCUAUUAUUUUUGCAGAAAUGGCUGUUGUAACUUUGUAGCUACUUUUCCAAUCUUUCUAGCUUUGCCCCCAUUGUGUUUAGGGAUGAAGAAAUUACAGCUGAGCUAAAUGGGAGGGAGAGAAGUUGCUUCUCUGUGUACAUUUUCAGAGACAUAUUCGUUUGAUUUGUCCAUAAGUUGUGCACUGGAUUCAUCUUCUACAUGCAGUAGGAUACAUAAGUUUAUGUUUCAACCUCUACAACUGCCUUGCAUCUGAGCAUAGUCAUUAUUUAGUAUGUGUAGCACUAGAAUGUAAAUUCAGACAAGCGAUAUGUAAUUCCUCCUCGCUUUUUUAGACAAAAAAAAUAAACUGCUUAUUUGAUGUUUCAGGUUGUCGUGAAUGGGCCUGCAUAACUGUUGCUGUAUGUGUGGCUGAGCACACAUAACCCUGUGUCGUUUACUUUUGGGCCUGCAUAAUUGUUUGGAAACAUUUGUUUUAGACUUCGGAUAAAUUGGAAUGUAUGAGAACUUGCAGGUGUGGAAGUUCCUGCUGCUAGGGCCUUCAAGAGGACCUAUAGAUUUGUCAUUUCCAGGUUUUAGAAGAGAUUAUUUCAGAACUAAAUAAGAAGAGGCAUACAUAUCUCCAGAUGGCGCAGCCGUAGGAGAGGCGAAUAUGGGCACGAUGCUGCAUUAAUUUGAUUUCUGUGCUACGUAAUGCCAGGGACAAGUCAAUGUGUCUCACGACCAGGUAGGUUAAUUUGAGCUAAAGUUCUGUUCAGUUGGUUACAAAUGCAAUAGCAAGCUGAGUUCGUAUAAGCUGAGUUGUGCAGAGCUCUUGGCUGAAUGAGUUGGUUACAAAUGAGUUGUUCAGAACUAAAUGAGUUGGCUGAAUGAAGAAUCAUAUGGCUCUGAAUCAAUUAAUUGAUGAGAUACUUUAAGUAUGCUUUGUAAUUUGUAUGUAUUUUUGUUAACUAAAUUUGUUCUUAGAGAUUUCCUCUGCAUACCCAUUUAUAAAUUAUAAUAGGAAUUGCAAUGCGUAUACAGUAAUAUUUCUGAGUUGUCCAUCAUGGUUUUGUUAGAGCAUCUCUAAAUGGAUGUGCUUCCUGAAUGCAUAACAAACACAAAUACUAUUUAAUCUUUGCAGUUAUAUAAGAACAUAAAUUGGAAUCUUUUAUCUGCUGUAUCUACAGCCAUCUGAAGCAAGUAUAUUUGGCAUAGUAGCUAAGUAGCAUUAGUCUGAACCAUUGGCAUUGUGCUGCAGAGAAAAUAUAGUGGACAGACACCUUUGCCAUUCUACUUUUGUUCAAAACCAGUCCAACAUACAGUUAAGGUUUGUUGUUCUGAUGAUUUACUAUGGCUAUGCUAUUCUUUGAUCCGCAGAGAAAAGGACAGAAACAUUAGGUAAUCCUUUGAACUUUGUCAUAUUAGGUAAAUCUCUUUGGCUUGAUUCAGUCUCUAAUUUUCAUUUGUUACUGCUGAUUAAGCAUUCCACCGUCAUAUCUUUCAUAAGGACCUGCAUCUUUAUCUCUUUUUUCUGGUACAAAAAAUAUAUGAAUGUUUAUUAAACCAAUGGAUGAUUUGGUUACCAUUUUUUAAGUGCAACCAUCCUUUUGGGUAGACCAGCAUACAUCAAACCAUGGCCCCCUGGAUCGAUGUGGACUUUAAGCUGAAAGCUGCUUACUUGAAAAGAUAUCACUGGAUCUUGCCUUCCUGCUUUGGAUUUCUGUGUUCUUUACUUAAACCUUCCUGAAAUUCUACUGUUGCAGGUACCUCAUUUUUGCAUGCCUCAGGAACAUAAUAUUCAAACAAACCAUGGAUCUGUAUUGGUUGCAAUAUAUGGUGACCAUGAUAAGCCUGCUGUUAUUACUUAUCCAGAUAUUGCCUUGAACCAUAAGUUUUAUAUUCAUACUUUUUUUGUUAUAUAUAAGAAUUAUGCAGCACUGUGACUGAAGUCAACUAUAGAUAUGUCUUGCCAAAUGUUACAUAUCCCUAGAAAAAUGGACUUUACCGUCAACAUAAUAACUAUGUUACAUAUCCUUUGUGCGAAACAUGUAUUUCUCAUUUUGGACUAUGGAUCAUGUGUUGUUUUUUGUGUGUCUAAAAUUUAUCCGUGGCGUUAGCACGGGCUGCUUACUAGUUUGGUUAAGGUUAUGAAAUAAGAUUGACAACAUUUCUCAAUCUCUGAACAUAACACUUCUUACUGUUUGGAAGAGAAGGAUGUAUCCAUGAUUAUAAUCCUAGCAGAUUUUAAUCCAAAACCAUCUUUAUGUAGCUCUGCUCUGUUGAAGCAACCAAAUUAAGUGUAGCAUAGCUCCUGUCCUUGGCCCAGAUGACUCAGUGUGUCCAUGAGCCCCGUCUCGCAUAGCAUAGCUCCUGUCCAUGGCCCAAAUGGCUCAGUUUGUCAGAUCAUAUUAGGAUCGAAUCCAGAUGAGUUAUCGAGUCAACUAAGGUGAAUACCCUAGCAGAUUUUAAUUCAAAACCAUUAAAAUAGAUUUUACUCACAACUAACAGUCCUUGAUUACAUGGUCGAUGAGUAGUAGGGCAUUGCUUUGUAGUUCCCUUUCUGCAUUCUGAUUGCCCAAUUCGUCAUGUCCACUAGUAUUGUUGUUCCCUUUAUUACUUAUAGAGUUAUAGUAGAAAAUGGGCCUAGCAUUGUAGUUCUCUUUUUUGUUUUUAGCUAUCAGCCUAUCACAGAUUCUCUAAUUAGCUCACUAUGGCAUAUUUACAGGUUCUGUUAUAGCUGAUCAGCAUGAUGAAGGGUAAUUUCUUACCAUUCUUUUUCUUGCGUUACACAGGAGUUGAAACACUAACACACUUCUUUACCGGGAACUGGAAGUACCAGUGCAGUUAAGAUAUUUGGAUUCUUAACUGUAGUACCAGUGCAUAUAGUCAUUUGUUUAAAGCUAACAGUAAUAUUUUAUUGUUUGUCUCUGUGAUCUAUUUUUGGAUGCCUUGGAAUUUGGUUGCUAAUGAAAGUUUCAUGUCCCGUGCAGUAUCCAAUUGACUUGGAACAAUAUGACUGAAGAGAGCAGCCUAAGAAAAAUGGCCUGGGAACAAUGUUUUCAAAUCGGCUGGUCGGUCCUGGUCGCCUAAGGACCGACCAGGCGAUUAAUCGCGAUUAGUCGACGACCAGGUCGACCUGGUCGAGCCUGGUUGUUCCCUAAUCGUCCAUAUGUCUACAUGUUCAGUAUAUACUAUAUAGUGUAUAUAUAAUUAUAUAUAUACAAUAUAGUAUACAGCAAGCAAUUCUGCAGGUUUUGGUGACUUACUUUUGAUAUUUGCUCUCCAGAACUCCAGCUUCUUGUCCAAAACUCCAUAUUCUUCUUGCUGAAUCCCUGCUGCUGAAACAAAAAAAAUGAAGUUGUUAGGAGAAAGUGAGAAACCUUCAUGCUGCCCUGGUCGAGAAAUGCCCUGGUCGACCGACUAAUCGCGAUUAGUGGACGACUAAUCGGACGACCAGGUUUCUGGUCGCUCUGGUCGGGUCGGUGGUGCUGGUCGGACUUGGAGAACCGACCUGGGCGAUUAAUCGCGAUUAAUCGCGAUUAAUCGGACGACUUGAAAACAUGGCCUGGGAAAUGUGAGCUAUCGCCAUGGUGAGACCUAAGGGAGGAACUACGCGACAGUGAGUUGCUGGAGGAACUCACCAGUGCAGAUCUCAUCCAAGCUGUAUGUCAGGAGCAAUUCCAUUUGGAUGAGAUCUGCACUGGUGAGUUGCUGGAUUUCACCCUCUACAAUACUUGCUGCAUUGUAAAAUUGUUGAACUGUGGAAUUGAUAAAUUGUUAAGAUUGUUUGUGGUUUACUUUGUUCGCAGUUUCAGUUUUCAUUAGGCAAAUAGUAGUUGAAUAGAUGUCUUCAAGUGUUGUCUCUGAUUCAGAGUUUCAGUUCGUCAGAGUCUUGCUGAACUUCAGGUGUUGUCUCUGCUUUCAGAUGUCUUUUGCUUUCUUUUCGGUUCAGUCAGGCUAAUAGGCAUUGCACAGAUCAUCAGAACAGUAUGCAAUCAGUCUUAUUUUGGUAAAAACGUUUUUCAGUUAUGCAGCUUGAGUGUUGGACAGAUCAUCAGAACAGUAUGCUGAAGAUUUGCUUUCAUGUCUUCUAAUUCUGUUUUGUAUAAUAUGCAAGGUUGUAACUAUUCAAUGGGGAAGAUGGCAGCUAGCGGUGGAGAGGAGUGGGCCUGAAGGCAUGUGACCAUGGAGAGCAGCAGGAUGGCCCAAUCAGAGGCGAGGCAUCAGUGUUGGGGAGUAUGAUUAUGUAAUAAAUCAUUAAUGAGUUCAUUCUUUGAUACCAUCAUCUGAAUGCCUGUACAGCUGUAGAUCAUGAAAGGCGCAUUCAUGGGUUGAUGCGACGACACAAGAUAUCCUGAGGUUACAGAUGCAAGUGCAACUCUGCUUGUUCUUUAAAUGGAUAUAUCAUAGCAUGUCAAUUGUGAAUAGGAUGUAUAAAAUGCUAUAAUUGUGAACAAAUGUCAAUCAACAGUGUGUGUGUGUGUGUGUGUAUAUUUAUUGCAUCAGUUUCUUUUUAUUUGCAAAUGUUGUUGCAUUAAAGAAUCAACAUCAUUGGAAUAGUAGCAACGAUUUGAA